rnacentral:rRNA from 1 species
AACGAACGCUGGCGGCAUGCCUAACACAUGCAAGUCGAACGAAGGCUUCGGCCUUAGUGGCGCACGGGUGAGUAACGCGUGGGAAACUGCCUAUUGGUGGGGAAUAACGACGGGAAACUGUCGCUAAUACCGCAUAAGCCCUUCGGGGGAAAGAUUUAUCGCCGAUAGAUGUGCCCGCGUCCGAUUAGCUAGUUGGUGAGGUAAUGGCUCACCAAGGCGACGAUCGGUAGCUGGUCCGAGAGGAUGACCAGCCACACUGGGACUGAGACACGGCCCAGACUCCUACGGGAGGCAGCAGUGGGGAAUAUUGGACAAUGGGCGAAAGCCUGAUCCAGCAAUGCCGCGUGAGUGAUGAAGGCCUUAGGGUUGUAAAGCUCUUUCGGGUGGGACGAUGAUGACGGUACCACCAGAAGAAGCCCCGGCUAACUUCGUGCCAGCAGCCGCCGUAG